UCGGAUUGUGACAUCAUUGUCAGGAGUGUGAUGUCAUCAGUGGGAGUCGUGACAUCACUGGGGAUGUGAUGUAAUCAUUGCAAAUGCGAUGGCAUUAUUGGGCACGUGACGUCAUUGCCGAAGUGUGAUGUCAUCUGUGUGGCUAUGAUGUCAUCACGAUGGGUGGGGUUAUGCCAUUAUAACGUCAUCAUCAUUGUGGCUGGGCUGUGACGUCAUUGGGGCAUAUCUAUGACGUCAUUGUGACGUCACGGCCCCGCCCCAGGCCCGCUGUUCAAUUUCGAUGUGCACGAGGACGUUCGGCUGCUCAGCGACGCCACCGUGGAGAAGGACGAGUCGCACGCCGGGAAGGUCGUGCUGCGCUCGUGGUACGAGAAGAACAAGCACAUCUUCCCUGCCAG
rnacentral:lncRNA from 1 species